GGCCGCGAAUUCGCCCUUAGGGUUUGAUCAUGGCUCAGAUUGAACGCUGGCGGCAGGCCUAACACAUGCAAGUCGAGCGGAUGAAGGGAGCUUGCUCCUGGAUUCAGCGGCGGACGGGUGAGUAAUGCCUAGGAAUCUGCCUGGUAGUGGGGGAUAACGUCCGGAAACGGGCGCUAAUACCGCAUACGUCCUGAGGGAGAAAGUGGGGGAUCUUCGGACCUCACGCUAUCAGAUGAGCCUAGGUCGGAUUAGCUAGUUGGUGGGGUAAAGGCCUACCAAGGCGACGAUCCGUAACUGGUCUGAGAGGAUGAUCAGUCACACUGGAACUGAGACACGGUCCAGACUCCUACGGGAGGCAGCAGUGGGGAAUAUUGGACAAUGGGCGAAAGCCUGAUCCAGCCAUGCCGCGUGUGUGAAGAA
rnacentral:rRNA from 1 species